rfam:Oryza sativa (indica cultivar-group) chromosome 10, whole genome shotgun sequence.
AAAAAGACAAACCCUGGGUUUCCGUGUCCAACUUUGACUGUCCGUCUUAUAUGAAUUUUUUUUAUAAUUCGUAUUAAACAUGAUUAAUAUUUUAUGCGCGACUUGUCUUUUUAAUUUUUUUUAUAUUUUUUUCAAAUAAGACGAACGGUCAAACGUUGGGCACGG